AUUUUGGACAAUGGGCGCAAGCCUGAUCCAGCCAUGCCGCGUGAGUGAAGAAGGACUUCGGGUUGUAAAGCGCUUUCGGACGGAAAGAAAUCGCGCAGGCUAAUACUCUGCGCGGAGGGCGGUACCGACAUAAGAAGCACCGGCUCACUACGUGCAAGCAGCCGCGGUAGUACGUAGGGUGCCAGCGUUAAUCGGAAUUACUGGGAAUAAAGCGUGCGCAGGCGGUUGAUUAAGACAGGCGUAAAAUCCCCGAGCUUAACCUGGGAACUGCGCUUGUGACUGGUCAGCUAGAGUACGGCAGAGGGGGGUGGAAUUCCACGUGUAGCAGUGAAAUGCGUAGAGAUGUGGAGGAACACCGAUGGCGAAGGCAGCCCCCUGGGCCGAUACUGACGCUCAUGCACGAAAGCGUGGGUAGCAAACAGG
rnacentral:rRNA from 1 species